GAUGAAGAACGUAGCGAAAUGCGAUAAGUAAUGUGAAUUGCAGAAUUCAGUGAAUCAUCGAAUCUUUGAACGCACAUUGCGCCCGCCAGCACUCUGGCGGGCAUGCCUGUUCGAGCGUCAUUUCAACCAUCAAGCCCCCAGGGGCUUGUGCUGGGGCCCUGCGGCUGCCCGCAGGCCCUGAAAACCAGUGGCGGGCUCGCUAGUCACACCGAGCGCAGUAGCACAUCUCGCUCAGGGCGUGCGGCGGGCUCCUGCCGUGAAACCCCCCACUGUAGCCCCAAAGGUUGACCUCGGAUCAGGUAGGAAUACCCGCUGAACUUAAGCAUAUCAAUAAGCGGAGGA
rnacentral:misc_RNA from 1 species